AGUGAACGCUGGCGGUAGGCCUAACACAUGCAAGUCGAACGGCAGCACAGUAAGAGCUUGCCCUUACGGGUGGCGAGUGGCGGACGGGUGAGGAAUACAUCGGAAUCUACUUUUUCGUGGGGGAUAACGUAGGGAAACUUACGCUAAUACCGCAUACGACCUACGGGUGAAAGCAGGGGAUCUUCGGACCUUGCGCGAUUGAAUGAGCCGAUGUCGGAUUAGCUAGUUGGCGGGGUAAAGGCCCACCAAGGCGACGAUCCGUAGCUGGUCUGAGAGGAUGAUCAGCCACACUGGAACUGAGACACGGUCCAGACUCCUACGGGAGGCAGCAGUGGGGAAUAUUGGACAAUGGGCGCAAGCCUGAUCCAGCCAUACCGCGUGGGUGAAGAAGGCCUUCGGGUUGUAAAGCCCUUUUGUUGGGAAAGAAAAGCAGCAGGUUAAUACCCCGCCGUUCUGACGGUACCCAAAGAAUAAGCACCGGCUAACUUCGUG
rnacentral:rRNA from 1 species